UGGCGCUCUGGUAGCUGUAGGCCAGGGGCGGUAGCGUU
rfam:Enterobacter cloacae SCF1, complete genome.